rnacentral:misc_RNA from 1 species
AAAGUCACCAUUCAUAGUUCACAUCAUUGCCUAACGAGUGAUGUGUCUCCGCCAGGUGUCUCAUUUU